UACAGAGGGGGCAAGCGUUGUUCGGAAUUACUGGGCGUAAAGGGCGCGUAGGCGGCCUUCUAAGUCGAACGUGAAAUCCCCGGGCUCAACCCCGGAACUGCCUUUAAAACUGCUGGUCUGGAGGUCGAGAGAGGUGAGUGGAAUUCCGAGUGUAGAGGUGAAAUUCGUAGAUAUUCGGAGGAACACCAGUGGCGAAGGCGGGUCUCUGGACAGUUCCUGACGCUGAGGCACGAAGGCCAGGGGAGCAAACGGG
rnacentral:rRNA from 1 species